rnacentral:rRNA from 1 species
GUCCACGCCGUAAACGAUGAGUGCUAAGUGUUAGAGGGUUUCCGCCCUUUAGUGCUGCAGUAAACGCAUUAAGCACUCCGCCUGGGGAGUACGGCCGCAAGGCUGAAACUCAAAGGAAUUGACGGGGACCCGCACAAGCGGUUGAGCAUGUGGUUUAAUUCGAAGCAACGCGAAGAACCUUACCAGGUCUUGACAUCCUCUGACAAUCCUAGAGAUAGGACUUUCCCCUUCGGGGGACAGAGUGACAUGUGGUGCAUGGUUGUCGU